UACGGAGGGUGCAAGCGUUAAUCGGAAUAACUGGGCGUAAAGCGCGCGUAGGUGGUUGAGUCAAUCGGAUGUGAAAGCCCCGGGCUUAACCUAGAAACUGCACCUGAUACUGCUUAACUAGAGUACGGUAGAGGGCAGUGGAAUUUCCUGUGUAGCGGUGAAAUGCGUAGAUAUAGGAAGGAACACCAGUGGCGAAGGCGACUGCCUGGACUGAUACUGACGCUGAGGUGCGAAAGCGUGGGUAGCAAACAGG
rnacentral:misc_RNA from 1 species